AAGAUGUCCCAGGUAGAAUGCCCAGUAUCAGUAAUACUUUUUUUUUGCUUGGUGUCUAUCUUUGCAGGUGAAAGAAGAGACCUGACCAGAAGAGUCCAGCUUUCUCAGUUUUGCCAAAGAUAUCUCAGAUUAAAGCAUUGACGUUGCACAUGUCUCUUGAGCAUGAAAGUACUGAUGAUGUUAUCAGAGUGCUAUCUGCACAUCCUCCUCUUCUGUAACAAGCUACUGAAAGGCAGUUGGUGCUGUCAGACAUGCUCGCCAGCCACUAAUGCAAACUUGUUGCUCUACAGCAUACCUGAUUUUUGUUCUAUCUGCUUUGUCUCAAACCAUGACCCCUCCAGCCAGCAGUGCAGAAAGCAACUGUUGUACCAACUGUGAGAGUUAAGCAAGGAAGUAAUUGCUUUUGGCUGCAUUUUAGCUCCUUAUAUUCUUUGUUCUG
rnacentral:lncRNA from 1 species